rnacentral:rRNA from 1 species
UACGAAGGGGGCAAGCGUUGUUCGGAAUUACUGGGCGUAAAGGGCGCGCAGGCGGCUUAUCAAGUCAGGCGUGAAAUUCCCGGGCUCAACCUGGGGGCUGCGCUUGAUACUGAUGAGCUUGAAUGCGGGAGAGGGUAGUGGAAUUCCCAGUGUAGAGGUGAAAUUCGUAGAUAUUGGGAAGAACACCGGUGGCGAAGGCGGCUAUCUGGCCCGUAAUUGACGCUGAGGCGCGAAGGCGUGGGGAGCAAACAGG